rfam:Candidatus Colwellbacteria bacterium RIFCSPLOWO2_12_FTLL_44_13 rifcsplowo2_12_scaffold_16764, whole genome shotgun sequence.
UUCUCGAUUGGGAAAUCGAGAUACAAUAAAACUGACGCAGCGUCAGAAGUCAGCUGAGUCAUAGUACCCGCCCAGGGCGGGGAAGGAA